rnacentral:rRNA from 1 species
AUACGGAGGGUGCAAGCGUUAUCCGGAAUCAUUGGGUUUAAAGGGUCCGUAGGCGGACUAAUAAGUCAGGGGUGAAAUCCCACAGCUUAACUGUGGGACUGCCUUUGAUACUGUUAGUCUUGAGUUAUAUGGAAGUAGAUAGAAUGUGUAGUGUAGCGGUGAAAUGCUUAGAGAUUACACAGAAUACCGAUUGCGAAGGCAGUCUACUACAUAUAUACUGACGCUAAUGGACGAAAGCGUGGGGAGCGAACAGGAUUAGAAACCCUAGUAGUCC